AGUGAACGCUGGCGGUAGGCCUAACACAUGCAAGUCGAACGGCAGCACAGUAAGAGCUUGCUCUUACGGGUGGCGAGUGGCGGACGGGUGAGGAAUACAUCGGAAUCUACUUUUUCGUGGGGGAUAACGUAGGGAAACUUACGCUAAUACCGCAUACGACCUACGGGUGAAAGCAUGGGAUCUUCGGACCUUGCGCGAUUGAAUGAGCCGAUGUCGGAUUAGCUAGUUGGCGGGGUAAAGGCCCACCAAGGCGACGAUCCGUAGCUGGUCUGAGAGGAUGAUCAGCCACACUGGAACUGAGACACGGUCCAGACCCCUACGGGAGGCAGCAGUGGGGAAUAUUGGACAAUGGGCGCAAGCCUGAUCCAGCCAUACCGCGUGGGUGAAGAAGGCCUUCGGGUUGUAAAGCCCUUUUGUUGGGAAAGAAAAGCAGCAGGUUAAUACCCCGCUGUUCUGACGGUACCCAAAGAAUAAGCACCGGCUAACUUCGUG
rnacentral:rRNA from 1 species